GACAGAGGGUGCAAACGUUGUUCGGAAUUACUGGGCGUAAAGCGUGUGUAGGCGGUCUGCUAAGUCGGGUGUGAAAGCCCUGGGCUCAACCCAGGAAGUGCACUCGAAACUGGCAGGCUAGAGUACUGGAGAGGUUGGUGGAAUUCUCGGUGUAGAGGUGAAAUUCGUAGAUAUCGAGAGGAACACCGGUGGCGAAGGCGGCCAACUGGACCGACACUGACGCUGAGGAGCGAAAGCCAGGGGAGCAAACGGG
rnacentral:rRNA from 1 species